rnacentral:rRNA from 1 species
UUGAACGCUGGCGGCAGGCCUAACACAUGCAAGUCGAGCGGAUGAAGGGAGCUUGCUCCUGGAUUCAGCGGCGGACGGGUGAGUAAUGCCUAGGAAUCUGCCUGGUAGUGGGGGAUAACGUCCGGAAACGGGCGCUAAUACCGCAUACGUCCUGAGGGAGAAAGUGGGGGAUCUUCGGACCUCACGCUAUCAGAUGAGCCUAGGUCGGAUUAGCUAGUUGGUGGGGUAAAGGCCUACCAAGGCGACGAUCCGUAACUGGUCUGAGGGGAUGAUCAGUCACACUGGAACUGAGACACGGUCCAGACUCCUACGGGAGGCAGCAGUGGGGAAUAUUGGACAAUGGGCGAAAGCCUGAUCCAGCCAUGCCGCGUGUGUGAAGAAGGUCUUCGGAUUGUAAAGCACUUUAAGUUGGGAGGAAGGGCAGUAAGUUAAUACCUUGCUGUUUUGACGUUACCAACAGAAUAAGCACCGGCUAACUUCGUG